UACCAGCUCUCCGAGUAGUGUGGAUGUUUAUUGGGCCUAAAGCAUCCGUAGCUUGCUAAGCAAGUCCCCUGUUAAAUCCACCGAUUCAAUCGGUGGAUUGCGGGGGAUACUGUUUGGCCAGGGGACGGGAGAGGCCGACGGUAUUUCCGGGGUAGGGGUGAAAUCCUAUAAUCCCGGGAAGACCACCAGUGGCGAAGGCUGUCGGCUAGAACGCGCCCGACGGUGAGGGAUGAAAGCUGGGGGGAGCGAACCGGAUUAGAUACCCGGGGUAGUCCCAGCUGUAAACGAUGCAGGCUAGGUGUUUGGGCGGCCACGAGCCGCUCUAGUGCCGCAGGGAAGCUGUUAAGCCUGCCGCCUGGGGAGUACGGCCGCAAGGCUGAAACUUAAGGAUUGGGCGGGGAGCACCACAAGGGGUGAAGCUUGCGGUUU
rnacentral:rRNA from 1 species